UAUAAAUUCUAUUGAUCAAAACUCAUAUACAAGUACACCAGACAUUCCUGGGUAAACAUAGAUCAAGUGACGAUUACAAUUACUCCGGACAUACUCGAGUUAACACAAUGAAAAGAUGUACAGACGAUAAAAGCUAAGGACACCAAGCUAAGGACUCAAAAUGAAUUAAAACAUGUGGAUACAAAGUAAACACAGCUUUGUAUAAAUGCGUUUUAAUUCGUCUUGCAAUGUAAUCCACUUGUGGCCUAAGAUUCAAAAAUCUACCUAUUCCUCGCAAUCCAGAUAUAGUCGAUGGAAGUAGCAAGUGCAAUUCAUUUAACUUUGCUUUCCUUUCCCAAGUUGUUCCCUGGGCUUUCUUUUUAAUCCAUUUCAAUGCACUUGGUAAGUAGACAUAGUGCGUCUAAAGGCCAACCAUCUACGAAUUUGUCCCCAAAUAGAACUACUGAAUGAACUAGAGAAAAAUAAGUUUUGUGCUAUGUUGUUUCCUCCAUUUCUCCACAAAAUGAACAUAUUAGGUCUAAUUUCAAGUGCUGAAUUUUAUCUUUAGUUAGUAAUUUGGACUUAACACCUAAUCAAAGAAUGAAAGCAUGCUUGGGUAUGAUGGAUGUAUUCCAAACCGUAUCUGCCCAUACUGCCCUUGCAUCCCUUGGCCUUAAAAAAUCAUAGGCAGCCAUAAUACUGAAACUUUUUGCCUCCAUCCAGUCCCACAACCUGUCUACACUAGCCUGAAAUGUGCAUUCAGGCCCCAUGAUUGGUCCCUGAUUUCCAGCACUUUUUUUACUAAAGGAGAAUCAUUUUUUUUUUUUUUUGCCAUGUACUCCCAAAUGUUCAUCCACGAAGAUAUAACUGAUUGACCCAUUUUAUCCAAAGGGUAUCUUUUUGCUAUGGAUGUUCAAUGGAGUUUUCGAAAGUAGCACACAAUUCCAUCUUUUAAUAUCUCUAAAACCAAGUCCUCCUUCAUACUUUAGUAGGCAAAUUUUGCUUCAAGAAACCAAUGGCUUUUUGACUCCCCAUAGGAAGUUCCGGCAUAAGCUAGUGAUUUUGGAGGCAACUGUAGUUGGAAUGGGAAAAUUGGACAAUGAAAAUCAUUCCACACCUUGAAGAAAGGUUCUCACAAGUUUCGCAAUCCCUGCAUUAGAUAGUGAAACACUAGACUAUACACCAACGUAUGAUGAGAUUUUUUGGAUGAAAACAUCAUAGGAGCUAAUUUUCAAUUUUUUCACCGCAAGUAGGAUCCUCAAUUAGCGAAAUGGCAUGGAACCCU
rnacentral:lncRNA from 1 species